UAUUUAAAAAGACAUGGGCAUUGUAUUCUUCAUGACUUGCCUCCACUUUCCAUCAUUAGCCCAUGUACUGGGCAGGGUCUCCACUUGCUGUCUCCCUUAUUCUGCCUGGUUUCCAAAGGCCUGGUUAUUUAGGUCUCAUUAUGUCUGUGGCCAAAGGUUAUGUCUGUAGCUUCCAGGGUGUGUUGUUGACACCUAAAACAGUUUGGAUGUUUAGUAUUUGUAUUUGAUACAGGCUAGAGGACAGCAUAAUCUUGGGGGUGUCAGUACUCCAACUAGGCUGGCCACCUACUCUUAUUUGUUUACACAAAACACAACAGGUUCAGACCUGAUCCCACAGGAAAUUUACAUACACACUUUGGUUCCAUGUUGGGCAUUUCUGGAAAGCCUGGAAAAUGCCAUGUUAGCCCUAUAAACACUUCCAGGCCAACUGUGGUGGGAAAGCAAGUUUGGGAGGAGGUGAGCUGGUGUGCUCUGGAGCCAACAGGCCUGGCUCUGUUUGUGUUGGCUGGCUGGAGGUGCAUUAUAAAUGCAGUCAGCCAGAGGCCACACUGCUCCUGAGAUUCUUUGCAAGCCUCACUAAGAUGAAGCUGCCCGGCCAGGAGGAGCAUGAAACUUCCAGUGCUCGUGAAAAUGUUUCUGCAGGGGGGCUGGACAGUGACCAUGGCUCUAGUCACAGCCCUAGUGGCUCUUCAGAAACACACAGCAGAGAACUGGGGUUACCCAAGGACCCUCCGCUCUUCAUUCAGCUGAAUGAGCUGCUGGGCUGGCCCGAGGCCCUAGAAUGGAGAGAGACAGGCAGGUGGGUGCUGUUUGAGGAGAAGCUGGAGGUGGGUGCAGGGCGGUGGAGUGCCCCCCAUGUGCCCACCCUGGCACUGCCCAGCCUCCAGAAGCUCCACAGCCUGCUGGCCAAGGGCCUCGUACUGCUGGACUGUCCAGCUCGGAACCUUCUGGAGCUUGUGGAGCAGGUGAUCAGAGCGGAGUCACUGAGUCCAGAGCUGAGAGGGCAGCUGCAGGCUUUGCUGUUGCAGAGACCCCAGCAUUACAUCCAGACCAGGACCUGGCCCUGCUGGGGAUCUACCCCUCCGAGAAAGGCAUCUCUCAAUGAGGGUGUGCCUCCAAAGGAACAGACUCAGAACCCUCUGAGACAGAAGCUGCCUCCAGGGGCCGAGGUAGCUGCUGUGCUAACUGGAGAGCUGGGCUUCCUUCCUCAGCCACUGGGGGCAUUUGUGCGACUUCGGGAUCCAGUGGUGCUGGGGACGCUCACUGAGUUGCCCCUCCCGAGCAGGUUUUUCUGCCUGCUCCUGGGCCCUGCCAUGCCGGGAAGGGGGUAUCGUGAGCUGGGUCGAGCAGCAGCUGUCCUCCUCAGUGACCUGCAAUUCCAGCGGUCAGUUCGUCGGGCUAGCAACCUUCAGGACCUUCUGGCUGCCCUGGAUGCCUUCCUAGAGGAAGUGACCGUGCUCCCCCCGGGUCGGUGGGACCCAACAGCGCGGAUUCUCCCGCCCAAAUGCCUGCCCUCGCCGCACAAAAGGUCGCACCCGCCGGAACGGGAGAUCCGGGGCCUCUCCGCGUCGUGCGCCGCCGGGGCAGAGCACAGCCCCGGCCGCGGGCCUCAAGGAGCCUGUCCAGAGUUGCAGCGCACUGGUCGGCUGUUUGGGGGUCUUGCGCAGGACGUGAGCCGGAAAGCUUCGUGGUACAGCACCGAUUUCUUGGACGCCCUGCACCCUCAGUGUUUCUCAGCUGUGCUCUACAUCUACCUGGCCACCGUCACUAACGCCAUUACUUUCGGGGGUCUGCUGGGAGACGCCACUGAUGGUGCCCAAGGAGUGCUGGAAAGUUUCCUGGGAACUGCCUCGGCUGGAGCUGCCUUCUGCCUGCUGGCAGGCCAGCCCCUCACCAUCCUCAGCAGCACCGGGCCGGUGCUGGUCUUUGAGCGCCUACUUUUCUCUUUCAGCAGAGAUCACAACCUGGACUACCUGCCUUUCCGCCUGUGGGUGGGCAUCUGGGUGGCCACCUUCUGCCUGGUGCUGGUGGCCACAGAGGCCAGUGUGCUGGUGCGCUACUUCACCCGAUUCACAGAGGAAGGCUUCUGUGCCCUCAUCAGCCUCAUCUUCAUCUACGAUGCCCUGGGCAAAAUGGUGAAUUUGACCCAUGCAUAUCCCAUCCAAAGGCCUGGGUCCCCUGGCUAUGGUUGCUUCUGUCAAUACCCAGGCCUACAAGGAAAUGAGUCUCAGUGGGCAACAACAAAGCCAAAGAACAGAGAUGACAUCUUAAGCAUGGACCUAGGCCUGGUCAAUGCAUCUUUGCUGCCUCCAUUUGAGUGCACCCAACAGGGAGGCCAACCUCGUGGCCCUGGCUGUCACACAGUCCCAGACAUUGCCUUCUUCUCCCUUCUGCUCUUCCUUACCUCCUUCUUCUUUGCUACGGCCUUCAAGCACGUAAAGACAAGUCACUUCUUCCCCUCCGUGGUGCGCAAAGUGCUCAGCGACUUCUCCUCAGUCCUGGCCAUCCUGCUGGGCUGUGGCCUUGAUGCAUUCCUGGGCCUAGCCACACCGAAGCUCACGGUGCCUACAGAGUUCAAGCCCACACUCCCUGGGCGUGGCUGGCUGGUAUCACCUUUUGGAGCCAACCCGUGGUGGUUAAGUGUGGCAGCUGCCCUGCCUGCCCUGCUGCUGUCUAUCCUUAUCUUCAUGGACCAGCAGAUCACAGCAGUCAUCCUCAACCGUGCAGAAUAUAAGCUGCAGAAAGGAGCUGGCUUCCAUUUGGACCUCUUUUGUGUGGCUGUGCUGAUUCUGCUCACAUCAACACUUGGGCUGCCCUGGUAUGUGUCAGCCACUGUCAUCUCCUUGGCCCACAUGGACAGUCUUCGGAGAGAAAGCAGAGCCUGUGCCCCUGGGGAGGCCCCCAGCUUCCUGGGCAUCAGGGAGCAGAGGCUGACAGGCCUGGUGGUGUUCAUUCUCACUGGCCUCUCCAUCUUCCUGGCACCUGUACUCAAGUUCAUCCCAAUGCCUGUGCUCUAUGGAAUCUUUCUGUACAUGGGGGUUGCAGCACUUAGCAGCAUCCAGUUUGUGAAGAGAGUGCAGCUACUGUUGAUGCCAGCAAAACACCAGCCAGACCUGCUGCUCUUGCGGCAUGUGCCUCUGAACAAAGUACACCUCUUCACUGCCAUCCAGCUUGUCUGCCUAGGUCUGCUUUGGAUAAUCAAGUCUACCCCUGCAGCCAUCAUCUUCCCCCUUAUGUUGCUGGGCCUGGUGGGUGUCCGAAAGGCACUAGAGUGGGUCUUCUCAGCACAGGAACUCCUCUGGCUGGAUGAGCUCAUGCCACAGGAGGAAAGUAUUCCUGAGAAGGGACUGGAGCCAGAGCAUUCAUUUGGUGGAGAUGAAAGCGAAGAUUCAGAGCUUAUGUAUCAACCAAAAGUUCCAGAAAUCAACAUCUCUGUAAAUUAGUUGGAGCAAGAGUCUGGGAGUGGAGAUCCUACAGAACCGAUCAUAAGUCCCUCAUGAACCCUAGAGCUGGAGAAGAAACAGCAAGGUCUACCCAGAGGGAAGAAUCAAAUAGGCAAGUUCACAGGUGUUUACUCAGAAAGUCAGGACAUUGUUCGCCUUUGACUUAGUUGCCAGAUGCUGUCGGCUGGGGACCUGAAACAAUGAGGCAGGACUGAAGAACAGUUGGCAAAGAUGCCAGUCACCUCCUGAGCUGGCAGUGGUGGAAGUAGCAAGGAGCAAGUAGAUUUGCUGGUGCUUAGGGAAGGCUGGUGAGCCAGAGGGACUGACCAUUCAUUUACUCUCUGCCCAUUAAAGGGACUAUUAGGGCUUGUGUCUAGAUGUUUCCCCAAAGCCUCAUGCAGUCAUAAUUGGGGUUUUAUAGAGGUGGCUGGAUCUAGAGUGUGACUGAUUCAUGGUGCAAUGCUGGGAUUAAGGGUGGGUGAUUACUAAAUCAGUUCACUGAUCUAGACUCAAUAGCCUAGAUGGAGUACAACAAAAGGGGCAGAAAAAAGCUGCUAAAAUCACUUGCUUGCUUUGCUACCUUCUGCCCACCAUGAACUGUUUUUCU